rnacentral:rRNA from 1 species
GACGAACGCUGGCGGCGUGCCUAAUACAUGCAAGUAGAACGCACAGUUUAUACCGUAGCUUGCUACACCAUAGACUGUGAGUUGCGAACGGGCGAGUAACGCGUAGGUAACCUGCCUGGUAGCGGGGGAUAACUAUUGGAAACGAUAGCUAAUACCGCAUAAUAUUAAUUAUUGCAUGAUAAUUAAUUGAAAGGUGCAAUUGCACCACUACCAGAUGGACCUGCGUUGUAUUAGCUAGUAGGUGAGGUAACGGCUCACCUAGGCGACGAUACAUAGCCGACCUGAGAGGGUGGUCGGCCAAACUGGGAAGGAGACACGGCCCAGACUCCUACGGGAGGCAGCAGUAGGGAAUCUUCGGCAAAGGACGAAAGUCUGACCGAGCAACGCCGCGUGAGUGAAGAAGGUUUUCGGAUCGUAAAGCUCUGUUGUAAGAGAAGAACGGGUGUGAGAGUGGAAAGUUCACACUGUGACGGUAUCUUACCAGAAAGGGACGGCUAACUACGUG